rnacentral:lncRNA from 1 species
UUUACUCUUAGUGUUUAGAGUAGUAUAAAUAGGUAGUCAUUGUAUUUGUAAUACAUCCACCAACAUUUGAAUACAAGUCUUUUCUUCCAAAACAGUCUUUUGUCUUUCCUUCUAUUUCUCUUCGCGAUCCAAAGUAGUGAAAGGCAUACUUGAGUUUGUGAGAUCGUGAUAGAAUCGUGAGCAAACCGUCAAGUGCCGCACGGAGUAUUGUCCGAAUUGAAAAGUCCGUGACAACACACUGAUAAACGACGUCGGGAGUGACAUGCCAUCACCGCCUUUUGACAGCACACACGGUCGAACGACGUCGGGCGUGGCAUGCCAUCACCGCCCUUGGACAGCACACACGGUCCAACGAUGUCGGGCGUGGCAUGACAUCACCGCCCUUGGUCUGCACGCACGGUCGGACGACGUUGGGCGUGGCAUGACAUCAACGCCCUUCAACAGCAUACACAAUCAAAAUACAUCGGGUGUGGCAUGACAUCACUGCCCUUGGGCAGCACACACGGUCAGACUACGUCGGGCGUGGCAUGCAAUCAUCGCGUUGGGCAGCACACAUGGUCGAACGAUGUCGGGCGUGGCAUGCCAUCAUCGCGUUGAGGCAGCACACACAGUCGAACGACGUCUGGCAUGGCAUACCAUCAUCGCCAUAAGGCAGCACAAACGGUCAAACGACGUCAGGCGUGGCAUGACAUCACCGCCCUUGGACUGCACGCACAGUCGGCAACGUCGGGCGUGGCAUGACAUCACCGCCCUUGGACAGCACACACGGUCGAUAACGUCGGGCGUGGUAUGGCAUCACCGCCCUUGGAAAAACACACAGUCAGCAACGUCGGGCGUGGCAUGCCAUCAUCGCCCUUGGGCAGCACACACGAUCGGCAACAUCGGGCGUGGCAUGACAUUACCGCCCUUGGACAGCACACACGGUCGGCAACGUCCGACGUGGCAUGACAUCACUGCCCUUGGACAGCACAUACAAUCGGCAACAUCGGGUGUGGCAUGCCAUAAUCGACUUUGGGCAGCAUACAUGAUCAAACGACGUCGGGCUUGGCAUGCCAUCAUCGCCUUUGGGAAGAAAAAACUGUCGAACGACGUCGGGCGUGGCAUCCCAUCAUCGCCUUUGGACUAGCUCACACAGUCGGAUGAUGUCGGGCUUGGCAUACCAUCAUCUUCCUUUGACGGCAAACAUGGUUAAACGACUUCGGGCGAACGACGUCGGGCAUGGCAUGACAUCACCGUCUUUGGACAGCACACACGGUCGAAUGACAUCGGUCGUGGCAUGCCAUCAUCGCCUUUUGGCAGCACAUACGGUCGAACGACGUCGGGCAAGGCAUGCCAUAAGAGCCCUUGGACAGCACACACAGUCGAACGACGUCGGGUGUGGCAUUCCAUCAUGGACCUUUGACAACACACACGGUCAAACGACGUCGGGCGUGGCAUGCCAUCAUAGCCCUUGGACGGCGAAUAGGGUCGAACGACGUUGGGCGUGGCAUGCCAUCAUCGCUUUUAAACUAGCUGACACAGUCGGACGAUGUCGGUCGUGGCAUGCAAUCAUCUCCCAUGGACGGCAAAAACGGUCGAACGAUGUCGGUGGUGGCAUGCUAUCACCUCCUUUGGACAGCACAUACAGUCGGACAACGUCGGGCGUGGCAUCCAUCAUCUCCUUUGGGCAGUACAGACGGUCGGACGGCUUCAGGCGUGGCAUGCCAUCAUCGCCCUUGGACAGAACAAACUGUCAUUCGUCGUCGGGCGUGGUAUGCCAUCAUAGCCCUUGGACAACACACACACUCGGCAACGUCGUGCGUGGCAUAGCAUCACCGCCCUUGAAAAGAACACAGCCAGCAAUGUCGGGCGUGGCGUGACAUCACCGCCCUUGGACAACACACACGGUCGUUAACGUCGAGCGUGGCAUGACAUCACCGCCCUUGGACAGCACACACGGUCAAACGACGUCGGGAGUGGCUUGACAUCACCGCCCUUGGACAGAACACACGGUCAAACGAUGUCAGGCGUGGCAUGACAUCACCGCCCUUGGACUGCACGCACGGUCGGAUGACAUCGGGCGUGGCAUGAUAUCACUGCCCUUAGAAUGCACACACGGUCAGACUUCGUCGGGCGUGGCAUGACAUCACCACCUUUCGACAACACACACGGUGGAACGACGUCGGGCAUGGCAUGCCAUCAUCGCCUUUGGGCAGCACACACGACCGAACGACGUCGGGCGUGGCAUGCCAUCAUGGACCUUGGUAAACACACACGGUUGAACGAUGUCGGGCGUGGCAUGCCAUCAUAGCCCUUGGAUGGCAAACAGGGUCGAACGACGUGAGGCGUGGCAUGACAUCAUCGCUUUUAAACCAGUUGACACAGUCAGACGGCGUCGGGUGUGGCAUGCCAUCAUCUCCCUAGGACGACAAACACAGUCGAACAACGUCGAGGGUUGCAUGCCAUAACCGCCUUUGGACAGCACACACAGUCAGACGGUGUCGGGCGUGGCAUGCCGUCAUCUCAUUUGGACAGCACAGACUGUCAGACAGCGUCAGGCGUGGCAUUCCAUCAUCGCCCUUGAACAGCACAAACAGUCGACCAUCGUCGGGCGUGGAAUGCCAUCAUAGCCCUUGCACAGCACACACGGUCGGCAACGUCGGGCAAGGCAUUAAAUCACCGCCCUUGGACAGUACACAUGGUCAAACGACGUCCAGCAUGGCAAAACAUCACCGCCCUUGGACUGCACGCACGAUCGGACGACGUUGGGCGUGGCAUGACAUCACCGCCCUUGGACAGCACACAGCCGGCAACGUCGGGCGUGGCAUGACAUCACCACCCAUGGACAACACACACGGUCGUCAACGUCGGACGUGGCAUGACAUCACCGCCCUUGGACAAAACACACGGUCGGACGACGUCGGGCGUGGCAUGACAUCACCGCCCUUGAAUAGCAUACACGGUCGAACGAUGUCGAGCGUGGAAUGACAUCACAGCCCUUAGACUGCAUGCACGAUCGGACGACAAUGGGCGUUGCAUGACAUCACCGCCCUUGGACAGCACACAACCGGCAACGUCGGGCAUGGCAUGACAUCACCGCUCUUGGACAACACACACGGUCGUCUUCGGGCGUGGCAUGACAUCACCGCUCUUGGACAGCACACACGGUCGGACGAGGUCGGGCGUGGCAUGAGAUCACCGCCCUUGAAUAGCCCACACGAUCGAAUGAUGUCGAGCGUGGAAUGACAUCACCGCCCUUGGACAACACACACAGUCGGACGACGUCGGGCGUGAUAUGCCAUCAUCUCCUUUUGGCAGCACAGACGGUCGGACGGCUUCGGGUGUGGCAUGCCAUCAUCGCCCUUAGACAACACAAACUAUCGGCCAUCGUCGGGCGUGAACAGCACAAACUAUCGGCAGUCGUCGGGCGUGACAUUACAUCACCGCCCUUGGACAGCACACACGAUCGAACGACGUCUGCCAUGGCAUGACAUCACCGUCCUUUGAUUGCACACACAAUCAGACGAAUUUGGGCGUGGCUUGACAUCACCUCCCUUGGAAAGCACAAAGCCGACAACGUCGACCGUGGCAUGACAUCACCGCCCUUAGACAACACACACGGUCGUUAACGUUAGGCGUGGCAUGACAUCACCACCCUUGGAUAGCACACACGAUCGGACGACUUUGGGCGUGGCUUGAUAUCACCGCCCUGGACAUAACACACGGUCGAACAAUGUCGAGUGUGGCAUGACAUCACCGCCCUAGGACUGCACGUACGGUCAGACGACGUCGGGCAUGGCAUGACAUCACUGCCCUUGGACAGCACAGACGGUCGAACUUCGUCGGGCAUGGCAUGACAUCACUGCCUUUGGACAACACACACGUUCGACCGACGUCGGGUGUGGCACGCCAUCAUCGCCUUUGGGCAGCACACAAAGUCGAACGACGUUGGGCGUGGCAUGACAUCACCGCCUUUGGACAGGACACACAGUGGAACGACGUCGAGCGUGACAUGCCAUCACCGCUUUUGUACAGCACACACGGUAGAAUGACGUCAGGCGUGACAUGACAUUACCGACUUUAGACAACACACACGGUGGAACAACGUCAGACGUGGCAUGCCAUCAUCGCCUUUGGACGACAAACACGGUCGACAAAAUAGAGCGUGGCAUGCCAUCAACGCCUAGGGACAGCACACACGGAAGGACGACGUUGGGCGUGUCAUGCUAUCAUCGCCUUUCGGCAGCACAGAUAGUCAGACGAUGUCGGGCGUGGCAUGUCAUCACCGCCCUAGAACAGCACACAUGUUCGGAUGACGUUGGGCGUGGCAUGCCAUCACCGCCCUUGGACAGCACACACGGUAGGACUACGUCGGGCGUGGCAUGACAUCACCUCCUUUGGACAACACAUGCGGUCGAACGACGUCGGCCGUGCCAUGCCAUCAUCGCCUUUGGGCAGCACAAACGGUCGAACGACGUCGGGCGUGGCAUGCCAUCGUAGCCUAUGGACGACAAACACGGUCGAACGACGUCAAGUGUGACAUGCCAUCACCGUCUUUGGACAGCACACACAGUCGAAUGACAUUAGGUAGGGCAUGCCAUCAUCGCCUUUGGGCCGCACACACGGUCGAAAGAUGUCGGGCGUGGCAUGAAAUCACCGCCUUUGCACAGCACACACGGUCAAUAGACGUUGGGCGUGACAUGCCAUCACCGCCUUUGGACAGCACACACGGUCGAAUGACGUCGGGCGUGUAAUGCCAUUAUCUCCUUUGGGCAGCACACACGGUCGAACUACGUCGGGCGUGGCAAGCCAUAAUCGCCUUUGGGCAGCACAAAUGCUAGAACGACGUCGGGCGUGGCAUGCCAUCAUCAUCUUUGGGCAGCACACAUGGUCGAACGACGUCGGGCGUGGCAUGCCAGCAUCGCCAUAAGGCAGCACAAACAGUCGAAAGAAAUCGGGUGUGGCAUGACAUCACCGCCUUUGGACAGCACACACGGUCGAACGACGCUGGGCAUGUCAUGCCAUCAUCAGCUUUGGGCAGCACAAACGGUCAGACAGCGUCGUGCGUGGCAUUCCAUCGUCGAGCUUGGACGGCAAACCAGUCGAACGACGUCAGGCGUGGAAUGCCAUCAUCUCCUUUAAGCAGUACGCACGGUCGACAUUGUCGGGCGUGACAUGCCAUCAUGGCCCUUGGACACCACACACAAUCGAACGUAGUCGGUCAUUGCAUGCCAUCAUAGCCCUUGAACGGCAAACAAGGGUGAAUGAUGUCGGGCGUGGCAUGUCAUCAUCACCCUUGGACUAGCUGGCACCAUCGGACUGCAUCAGGCGUGGCAUGCCAUCAUCGCCCUAGGACGGGAAACACGGUAGAAUGACGUAGAGCAUGGAAUGCUAUCAACGCCUUAGGAUAGCACAAACGAAAGGAUGACGUCGGGCAUGGCAUGUCAUCACUGCCCUUGGACAGCACACACGGUGGGACGACGUCGGGCGUGGCAUGAGAUCACCGCUGUUGGACUGCAUGCAUGGUCGGACUACGUCGGGCGUUGCAUGACAUCACAAACUUUGGACAGCACACACGGUCGAACGACGCGUGGCAUGGCAUGACAUCACCGCCCUUAAACUGCACGCACGGUCAGACGACAUCGGGUGUGGCAUGAUAUCACCGCCUUUGGACAGCACACACGGUCGGCAAUGUCGGGCAUGGCAUGACAUCUCCGCUCUUGGACAGUACGCAUGGUCGGACGACAUCGGACAUGGCAUGUCAUCACCGCCCUUGGGCAGCACACACGGUCGGACUACGUCGGGCGUGGCAUGACAUCACCUCCUUUGGACAGCACACACGAUCGAACGACGUCGUGCGUGGCAUGCCAUCAUCGCCUUUGGGCAGCACACACGGUCGAAUGAUGUCGGGCGUGGCAUACCAUCAUAGCCCAUAGAUGGCAAACACGAUCGAACGACGUCGGGCAUGGAAUUUCAUCAUCUCCUUUGGGCAGCACACACGGUCGAACGACAUCGGGCGUGGCAUGACAUCACCGCCUUUAGACAGCACAAACGGUAGAACGACGUCAGGCGUGACACGACAUCACCAACUUUAGACAAUACACACGGUGGAACGACGUCAGGUGUGGCAUGGCAUCAUCGCCUUUGGACUAGCUGACACAGUCGGACGGCGUCGGGCGUGGCAUGCCAUCAUCGCCCUUGGACGGUAAACACAGUCGAUAACGUAGAGCGUGGCAUGCCAUCAUCACCCUUGGACUAGCUGACACCAUCGGACUGCGUCGGGCGUGGCAUGCCAUCAUCGCCCUUGGACGGGAAACACGGUAGAAUGACGUAGAGCGUGGAAUGUUAUCAACGCCUUCGGACAACACAAACGAAAGGAUGACGUCGGGCGUGGCAUGCCAUCACUGCCCUUGGAAAGUAUGCACAGUGGGAGGACGUCGGGCGUGGCAUGAGAUCACCGCUCUUGGACUGCACACAUGGUAAGACUACGUCGGGCGUUGCAUGACAUCACCAACUUUGGACAGCACACACGGUCGAAUGACGUGUGGAAUGGCAUGACAUCACCGCCCUUAACCUGCACGCACGGUCAGAUGACAUCGGGCGUGGCAUGACAUCACCGCCUUUGGACAGCACACACGGUCAGCAACGUCGGGCGUGGCAUGACAUCUCCGCUCUUGGACAGCACGCAUGGUCGGACGACAUCGGACAUGGCAUGUCAUCACCGCCCUUAGGCAGCACACACGGUCGGACUACGCCGGACGUGGCAUGACAUCACCUCCUUUGGACAGCACACACGGUCGAACGACGUCGUGCGUGGCAUGCCAUCAUCGCCUUUGGGCAGCACACACGGUCGAAUGACGUCGGGCAUGGCAUACCAUCAUAGCCCAUAGAUGGCAAACACGGUCGAACGACGUCGGGCGUGGAAUUCCAUCAUCACCUUUGGGCAGCAAACAAGGUCGAACGACGUCGGGCAUGGCAUGCCGUCAUGGCCCUUGGACACCACACACGAUUGAACGAAGUCGGGUGUGGCAUGCCAUCAUAGCCCUUGAACGACAAACAAGGUUGAACGAUGUAAGGCGUGGCAUGACAUCAUCGCCUUUGGACUAGCUGACACACUCAGACGGCGUCGGGUGUGGCAUGCCAUCAUUGCUCUUUGACGGGAAACAUGGUCGAACGACGUAGAGCAUGGCAUGCCAUCAACACCUUGGGACAGCACACACGAAAGAACAACGUCGGGCGUGGCAUGACAUCAUCACCAUUGGGCAGCACACACGGUUGAACUACGUCGAGCGUGGCAUGCCAUCAUCGCCUUUGGGCAGCACAAAAUGGUCGAACGACAUCGAGCGUGGCAUGCCAUCAUCACCUUUGGGCAGCACACACGGUCGAAUGAUGUUGGGCGUGGCAUGUCAUAAUCUCCUUAAGGCAGCACACACAGUCAAAAGACGUCGAGCGUGGCAUGAUAUCACCGUCUUUGAACAGCACACACGGUCGAACGACAUCGGGCGUGACAUGCCAUCACCGCCAUAGGACAGCACACGAUCAGACGACGUCGGGUAUGGCAUGAGAUCACCGCCCUUGGGCAGCACACACGGUCGAAUGACGUCGAGCGUGGCAUGCCAUCAUCGCCUUUGGAUAGCACACACGGUUAAACAACAACCAGCGUGGCAUUCCAUUAUCGCCUUUGGGCAGCACACACGGUCGAAGUACGUCGGGCAUGGCAUGCCAUCAUCACCUUUGGGAAAGCACAAACAGUUGAACGAUGUUAGCAGUGGCAUGCCAACAUCACCUUUGGAAAGCACACACGGUCAAACGAUGUCGGGCUAGCAUGCCAGCAUUGCCUUUGGGCAGCACACGAUCGAAAGACGUCGGGCGUGGCAUGACAUCACCUCCUUUAAACAGCACACACGGUCGAACGACGUCGAGCGCGACAUGCAAUCACCGCUAUUAGAAAGCACACACGGUUGAAUGACGUCGGGCGUGGCAUGCCAUCAUCACCUUUGGGCAGCACAAACGGUCGAACGACGUCGGGCGUGGCAUGCCAUCUUGCCUUUGGGAAGCACACACGGUCGAACGACGUCGGGCGUGGCAUGACAUCACCGCCCUUGGAUGGCGCAAAUGGUCAAACGACGUCGGGUGUGGCAUGACAUCACCACCCUUGGACAGCAAAGACAAUCGGCAACAUAGGGUGUGGCAUGACAUCACCGCCAUAAGACAGCACACGGUCGGACGACGUCGGGCAUGGCAUAACAUCACCGCCCUUGGGCAACACACACGGUUGGACUAUGUCAGGCAUGGCAUGACAUCACUGCCUUUGUACAACACACACGGUCGAACGACGUCUGGCGUGGCAUGCCAUCAUCGCCUUUGGGCAGCACACACAAUCGAAUGACGUCUGGUGGGGAUGCCAUAAUAGCCCAUGGACGGCAAACACGGUCGAACGACGUCAGGCGUGACAUGCCAUCACCGCCUUUGGACAACACACACGGUCGAACGAUGUCGGCGUGGCAUGCCAUCUUGCCUUUGGGAAGCACACACGAUCGAAAGACGUCGGGCGUGGUAUGACAUCACCGCCUCUGGGCAGCACACACGGUCAAACGACGUUGGGCGUGACAUGCCAUCACCGCCUUUAGAUAGCACACAAGGAAGGACGACAUCCGGCGUGGCAAGCUAUCAUCUCUUUUGGGCAGCACAAACAGUCGGACGUCGUCUGGCGUGGCAUGCCAUCACCGCCCUUGGACAGCACACUUGGUCGGAUGACGUCGGGCAUGGCAUGCCAUCACUGCCCUUGAACAGCACACAAGGUAGGACGACGUCAGCCGUGGUAUGAGAUCACCGCGCUUGGACUGCACGCAUGGUCGGACUACGUCGGGCGUGGCAUGACAUCACCAUCUUUGGAUAGAACACACGGUAGAACGACGCGUGGCAUGGCAUGACAUCAUUGCCUUUGAACUGCACGCACGGUCAGACGACAUCAAGCGUGGCAUGACAUCACCGCCUUUGGACAGCACACACAGUCUGCAACGUCGUGCGUGGCAUGACAUCGCCGCUAUUGGACAGCACGCAUGGUCGGACGACAUCGGGCAUGGCAUGACAUCACCGCCCUUGGGCAGCACAAACGGUCGAACGAUGUCAGGCGUGGCAUGGCAUGACAUCACCGCCCUUGAACAGCACGCACGGUCAGACGACAUCGGGCGUGGCAUGACAUCACCGCCUUUGGACAGCACACACGGUCGGCAACGUCGGGCGUGGCAUGACAUCGCCGCUCUUGGACAGCACUCACGGUCGGACGACAUCGAGCAUGGCAUGACAUCAUCGCCUUUGGGAAGCACAGACGGUCGAAUAACGUCGGGCGUGGCAUACCAUCAUAGCCCAUGGAUGGCAAACACGGUCGAACGAUGUCGGGCGUGGAAUGCCAUCAUUGCCUUUGGGCAGCACACACGGUUGAACGACGUCGGGCGUGGCAUGCCAUCAUUGCCUUUGGGCAGCACACACGGUUGAACGACGUCGGGCGUGCAUGCCAUCAUAGCCCUUGAAUGGCAAACAAUGUUGAAUGACGUCAGGCGUGGCAUGCCAUCAUCACCUUUGGACUAGCUGACACAGUCGGACGGCAUCGGGCGUGGCAUGCCAUUAUCGCCCUUUAACGGGAAACACGAUCGAACGACCUAGAGCGUGGCAUGCCAUCAAGGCCUAACGACAGCACACAAGAAAGGAUGAUGUCAGGCGUGGAAUGCCAUCAUCUCCUUUGGGCAGCACAGACGGUCGGACGACGUAGGGCGUGGCAUGCUAUCGCCGUCUUUGGACAGCACACAUGGUUGGAUGACGUCGGGUGUGGCAUGCCAUCACCACCCUUGGAAAGCAUACACGGUAGGACGACAUCGGGCGUGGCAUGACAUCACCGCUCUUGAACAGCACGCAUGGUCGGACGACAUCGGGCAUGGAAUGACAUCACCGCCCUUGGGAAGAACACACGGUCGGACUACGUCGGGCGUGGCAUGACAUGACCUCCUUUGGACAGCACACA